CUCGUUUCCUAUAAAAGAUGGAAAUUUAUCAGUUAAUCCUCAUUCUUCAACCGACCUUCAAGAGGGCUGACUAGACUCCGAUGGUGGGCUCUCCAGCUGGUGACAUCUGACAAAGUUAAGUGCUUGGUGUUUAGUUUAUUGUAUUGUUCAUGUCUAUUUGUAAGCUGGUUUACUUGCGUUUGCGCGUAUAGGGUUUUCGGUAACGGUCGAUUUGUCGAGUUGUUUGUUUGUUUUUGUUGGUUGUUUGUUUUGUCUUCGUGCUGUUGGUUUGUUCUUCAGGUGUUGUGUGGUUUUUUGCCACACUUAUGUGUGGUUUUUUACCACACUUGUUGUGUGGUUUUUUUUGCCACACUUGUUGUGUGGUUUUUUUGCCACACACUGUUUCUUGCACAUGUACCAACUUGUCUUUGUCAUUUCUCCCUAGCCUAAAGUGUUUUGUAAUGGUUAAUCAUGUCAUUCUUUUUUACAGAACAACAUUGUUCCUGCUUGUUCCUGCUUGUUCCUGCUUGCUGCUGUGUCUGGAGGAGUGGUUGUUGUAUUGUGUGACAUUUUGUAAUUGUUAAUCCAUCUAAUUUAUGCAGAUUACAGAUUGUGGCUGUGGCUCUACUGACUCUGGAGUAAGUUGUAAGUUAAAAGCGCCACUCUAAUCUUAGCGCCCAAACUUUAAACAAACUCUAUUUAAAGUUAACAUAAUUCUGCUCUAACGAAAAUACUUUUUGCAGUUUAUGGUAUAAAUAUGUACGUGUGUGUGCGCCUGUUAGCGCCUGUGUGUGUGUGUGUGUGUGUGUGCGCGUGCGGUGUGUGCGUGUAACUAAAUUGGUGAACGUUUGUUGCGUGUGUGUGGGUUCAAAUUGGUGGCCUCCUGUGUGUACGUGUGUAUCUUUCAAUUUUGUUGUGUGUGACAUGUGUGUGUGUGUGACCUCUUGUUGCGUGCGUGUGGGUUUAAAUUGGUGGUCUCUUGUGUGACUUUCAAAUUGUUGUUGUGUGUGACGUGUGUGUGUGUGACCUCUUGUUGUGUGUGUGUGGUUUCAAAUUGGUGGUCGCCUGUGUGUGUGUGUAUCUUUCAAUUGUUGUCGUGUGACAUGUGUGUGUGUGUGUGUGACCUCUUGUUGUGUGUGUGUGGUUUCAAAUUGGUGGUCGCCUGUGUGUGUGUGUGUGUAUCUUUCAAUUGUUGUCGUGUGACAUGUGUGUGAGUGUGACCUCUUGUUGUGUGUGUGUGGUUUCAAAUUGGUGGUCGCCUGUGUGUGUGUGUAUCUUUCAAUUGUUGUCGUGUGACAUGUGUGUGAUCAUGAGUGUGACCUCUCGUUGCGUGCGUGUGCGUGGUUUCAAAUUGGUGGCCUCUUGUGUGUGUGUAUCUUUCAAUUGUUGUCGUGUGACAUGUGUGUGAGUGUGACCUCUCGUUGCGUGCGUGUGCGUGGUUUCAAAUUGGUGGCCUCUUGUGUGUGUGUUUGUCAUUAAUAAUUAUUAUUAAAAUUGUUACUGUAAAAAGUAUAAUAAAGACGCCACUCUAAUGUAGACCUAAACUCUAUAACAAAUUUUAAACACAAUUUUAGUUUCAUACAUGGCUUUUUCACGUGAAACAAACUAAUCUAGCUAGCACUUUAAAUAAAUAUUAAGACAGCAUUAGUGGUAGGACAGCAUUAGUGGUAGAGGCAUUAGUGAUAGUGGCAUUAGUGGUAAUACACGCCUUUUCACGUGAAUCACAACUAGCUAGCUAGCUAGCUGAGCUAGCUGCAAUAGUGGUAUGGGCAGGCGUCUCGGCAGGUGUUCAGUUUUUAUUAUAGCUAGUUGCAUGUGUUCUAGUGUGGUUGGCCCCUUUGUGCAUGUUUGCAAACUGAAUACCUGCCGUUCUCUUACCGACACUCUACUAUAAAUAAACGAGCUCUGUGACGUACCUCCUGGGUGGCUUGGAAAGCGUCACACACAGCACACACUAAUCCACAGGUGAUGCUCUCCUCAACUGAUGGCCAUCUCUUAUAAUGGAUUUGCUCUGACACUGCUGACAGUUAAUUGAUAGUGGAACACACGAUUGGAGUUAAGACUUUGUUCUUCAAGACCAUCAUCAUGACUCAGCAUUUUGUGUGUAAUUUUUUGUAUGUAUAAUUAUACUUUAAUAUUAAAAUCAUGACUGUAAUUUUGA